GCAUGUAGAGGUGUAUAUAUGCUUGCUUGUGGUAUAUAUAAAUAUAUAUAUAAAAUAGAGAUAUCUGCUAAACUCUCUCAUGGCUAUUGGAAAAACUAAACAACCUACAUUUGUUUAAAUAUGCAUAGAGUGGCUUUUACUGCAGUGUAUAUUCAGACCUGGUACCUUUGCUGGAAACCAUAAUUAUUUGUACACAGAGGUUUAUUAGAUGAUAAUGGUGAAGAGGUUCUUGCCUCUUUCAAAUGUGGGGUCUCACAUGCCCAGGACUCAUAUGGAACUGGAUAUUUAAUUCAGAUAUAAAGUUUGCUAAAUUCAGAACCAACUUUUUUUCCAUUGCUUGCCACAGACUCACAUAAACUUGCU